UUUCUCUCUGCUUUAAAAGAUGUAAAUUUGCAAAGCACCUCUAAAAUUGAACCAAACUUGGAGAAUGCAGACGGUACUGGUAACUCCAGGAAACAGAAAUAGAAGAGCCUAUAAUGUAUUUAAAGCCUCCAAAAUUAGAUUGUAUUGCUGCCAUUUUGCCUUCUUUUUAAUUGUUCUAAUGGAAAGAGGGAAAAAUUAAUUUCAACUCUUCAGAGGUUGUAAAAUUUGUUUGUCAGCACUCAAUCACAUGGAACAGCUGCUUUGCACUGGUAUGGGCAAGACCCAACUGAACAGCAACCAGCCCAGGCAAACAGUGCUUAGAAGCAGUAAGGAACUCUCUACGGUCUUUAUGCGAUGCGUAACAGCAGAACUGUAAAAUAACUUGUACAGAAACUACACAUCCCAACUCAAUGGCAGCUUACUAGAGAGAAGGGAAGAGUGUCUUUGCUGUGGGAUACUCAGAAUGAAAACCUAGGCCCCCUCUACCCCUGGAAACCUGUUAAGGAAAAACCAAAAACCAACCAAAAAAAAUCAAAAACCAAACACAAAACCUAACCAAACCAAAAACUCCAUCGCUAUGGAGGGAUAUUUAAAGGAUUGUCUCAGAUAGAAAAUAAGGAAUGACAGGAAUGGUUGCUCCCAAAAUUAAAUAAAACCAAGAGGCAGAUCUGAAGAAUGGGCCAGACUGAGGAGCUGGAGGCUUCCCAGCUUUGGACACUGAACCCUCUAUUACUAGAGAGAGUUAAUUUUUGAAGAAACAAAAACACAGCAAAUAAAAUGGCUUAGUCCUGCUAGGCCUGCAGCUCAAGGGUGGGCUGAAAUAUUCAUUUUUAUAUUCCGCCCACAUUGAAAAUGCAGGAGCAUUUUUAAUUCAGAAAAGACAGGACUAACAGCACUAACCUGAGUCAGGACUAAUGCUGACAUGCAUCAUAUAAGAAACUCUCUCACACAGCUCUUUCAGUACACUACAGCUCUGACCUUCAGCAGCAUUUGCUGUUCCAGUCCUUGGCCUCUUGAGGAAAGACUGACAACUGUGCAAUCAAGAGAGACUGCCCUGACCAUUGUCUUUUGGAGCCAGAACAAAUGAGUACAGGAAGAGACCUAAUGAUUAAUUUUCACCUGUAACCUACAUCAACUGUGAUGGCUUUCAGCAGUAAAAGGCAAGUCUGUUGUUAACUCACUGAGUGCCAGACCCAGGAGAAAUAAAAAUAUUUCUUUUUUUAACGAAAAUAUAUUUCUAAAAGUAAUAAACUAUAUUCCAUUUUUAAUUCAUAACGGGGGAACAAAAGGAACAUACAGAAUGACCCCCAAAAUAAUUCUAGUAAAUUUCCAUUGGUUUAUAAAAUUAUGCCAGGGAUUCCAGUGAUUUGUUGCAUUUAAAGCACAGGCACAUUGUGAGUGGGUGUGGUAUCAGCUUUGAAAGUUAGUCUCUUACCAUAGAAGAACUCUGCCACCACCUUCUGAGUGGCUGCACUAGUAUUCUUGAGUUUGCCCUCUUACUGUAACUUUACUUAUAUGUUAUUUGCUUUCAUGAUACAUAUUAAAUUUAAAUAGUCUUACACUGAUACUCGGAAAACAACCUCAGGUGCCUUGAACUCCUUGUCUUCCUUUUACUAAAAACACCUAUUGCAAACUUCUUUAAGGAAGUUUCCAUCAUGUUGUCCUACCUCUGAAUCUGUAUCUUCAUUUCUAUAAUCUCCUGGGAUACUAUCUGGACAAAUUUUAAUUUGAAUUUAGAGUUAUAUCUCUUCCUUGAAACACAGGUGCUUCCAGAACCUAUUGCAACUCUACCUACCAGCUAAAUUGGCUAUCAUGAUUUUUUCUUCUAUUUUUUUUUUAAUAACAGGGAUUAACCAUUAUUUAUAAUUGGUCAGGUGGAAGCAAGCACUAUGUAAGCUUCCCUGGCAGAGCAUGGUAACCUCAGUCAUGACCUGUAACAUUCCCCACCAUCCUGUUACUAUUAUAACCCUGGUAUUAGACUUCUAAAACUUGCAGUUGUAGCAAAUUAUGUCAUAGCUACAUGAUGUGAAAAACAUCUGAAAAAAAUCUAAGCUGAUGUGAUGAUACCCAUUUUGCCUAUGUCUUCAAUUUGACUCCAGGCCAAGUGAAAGAUAAAUAGUACAUUUAUUCAUUAACCCACUCUAUCACAAAGAGUGCAUCUUCGCAGCAACUGAAAGCACAUGAUUCUUUGGUUACCGUGGGCAAGGCAGUUAGGGUCUUGCUAAAUAACAAAACUGAUUGUGCUCUGCUCCUCCUUCUGCAUUGCAAUGAAGCUACUGGAUGCUGUCUACUGGAAAGGGUCAGAGCAAAUCUGAUUGUGCCCUUGAUUCUAUUAAGUCAGGACUUCUGAAAAUUGAAGAAAGGAGGCCUCUGUUUGACAACCUCUGGAUUGAAGGACUGAAGAAGACACUGAUCCCACCUCUCUUCAAUGAAAGGCUUUCACAAGCAAGCCUGUUACAAGUUUUUUUCAAAUGUGAUGUUCGCAUACUGACAGGUGCUGGGAAAUGCUAGGAAACCAAUCUAAAAUUGCUCAAGGUUUCUACCAAGAGUCUACAAUGGAAUUUCUCUUCUCCUAUACAACAACCACAACCUUGCCCAACGUACCUCCUCAUAAGUUCGUUUUGAAAGGAGAAAGGUUGAAGCUGAAGGUGGUGAAGCAAUUACCCAUCCAGUAUCAUUCUUCUCUGCCUGAGUCCGGACAAAGUCAGAGCCCUACAUGAGAAGAUAGACAAAUCAACGUGCUGCUUUGUUAUAUUCUUCCUCCUUUCUGCAGAUUUUUGUCUCAGCUUCCUGGUCAGGAACACUCUCUCACAUAUCUCCAAGAAGUUUCUAUGCCACCCAUAGUAACUAAAGGCUUCUUGCUUAUCCAGGCUCACCAGUCUUACAAUACAGCAUUCCUAUUUGCUCUAUAGCUGAGGGAUUAGGACCACAUCUGUCAGCUACUGCAGAUGCACCUUGGCUCCCUCCCACCUUCAGGGAUAUUGUGCAUUAAGUGCGUUUCCUGAGGGAAAGCUUAGCUUUAACAUCCAAAAUGGCAAUCCUCUUCUCCUGAAUAAACCCAUCUACAAAACGACAUGCAUAAGUUGUCCUGAAACUGAACUUUUCUUUUCCAGGUCACAGUUGGGUAGGAAUGAUGAGCUCAAAUGCAUAGAACAGAAAUGAUCUAGUAUCAACCGUCUCUUUCAAACCUAAGAUCACCCCCUUCUUGCCAUGGAGAUACUUCAAGUAGAAAAACAAAGGGGACAGCCACCUCCCUGCCAAAGGAUUGCAG